UACGAAGGGGGCUAGCGUUGCUCGGAAUCACUGGGCGUAAAGCGCACGUAGGCGGAUUGCUAAGUCAGGGGUGAAAUCCUGGAGCUCAACUCCAGAACUGCCUUUGAUACUGGCGACCUUGAGUCCGGGAGAGGUGAGUGGAACUGCGAGUGUAGAGGUGAAAUGCGUAGAUAUCCGGAGGAACACCGGUGGCGAAGGCGGCUUCCUGGACCGACACUGACGCUGAGGCGCGAAAGCCAGGGGAGCGAACGGG
rnacentral:rRNA from 1 species